AUUGAACGCUGGCGGCAUGCUUUACACAUGCAAGUCGAACGGUAACAGGCCGCAAGGUGCUGACGAGUGGCGAACGGGUGAGUAAUGCAUCGGAACGUGCCCAGUCGUGGGGGAUAACGCAGCGAAAGCUGUGCUAAUACCGCAUACGAUCUAUGGAUGAAAGCGGGGGACCGUAAGGCCUCGCGCGAUCGGAGCGGCCGAUGUCAGAUUAGGUAGUUGGUGGGGUAAAGGCCUACCAAGCCGGCGAUCUGUAGCCGGGCUGAGAGGACGACCAGCCACACUGGGACUGUGACACGGCCCAGACUCCUACGGGAGGCAGCAGUGGGGAAUUUUGGACAAUGGGCGCAAGCCUGAUCCAGCAAUGCCGCGUGCAGGAAGAAGGCCUUCGGGUUGUAAACUGCUUUUGUACGGAACGAAACGGUCUGGGUUAAUACCCUGGGCUAAUGACGGUACCGUAAGAAUAAGCACCGGCUAACUACGUGCCAGCCGCCGCCGUAAGAC
rnacentral:rRNA from 1 species